GGUGAAAAUGAUGAAUGUUGAUGAACAGAUCUACAUGACCUGAAAAUUGCCAUCCAUUUCCUGAUUCACC